GGUGAACUCGACAAUUGAGUACUGUGGACCUCGACUGAAAACAAGAAGUUUUUCAGUCAACAGGGUGCAAAUGUUGUAACAGCGCAAUGUUAAAAUUGACCGGAGUUCUCCUUUAACCUGAAGUUACGAGCUGGAUUAGGAAACAGGACGAAUCACGACGACCGACGAACGGCCAACAGACGACAUAGUUUGGUGAAUCUAGAGGAAACACCGGACCCACGGACCCUUUCUGGUUGGUUGUAGGCACCUGUCAGAACACAUGGAGAGGAAGUUUGCAGUGGUGCGGUGGAGUGAAGGUGAGGAUUUUGGGAAGCUCAGUGACAUAAAAACUGAUUCCAUAAGGGGGUAUGAAAAUUCCAAGAUGGACCAGGAUGGGAAUCCCUUUGCCACCUACUCAGCCGUAAUUGAAUGGCGCCAUGGGAGGAAACAACAACGAGGAGGCUGGCCUCACUACAGAGGCACUGUCAUUUUUGUUAGUGCUACUCGCUUUGAGACAAUCCGUAAACUGAACUCACUGCUGAAGGAAGAAGAACCUACAGAGCUGACAAAGAGGGCCUCAGUGGCCCCCCAAAAAUAUGGUGACGAUUCAGAUUGCUCAACUGAUAUUGAAACUCCGUCUCAGAAAGCAAAGAAGUCAAAGGCUCCCAGGAGGACAGACCCUGCAGAAGAGUUUCUUAAGCUAUACGGUCAAUCACAGCCUUCUUCAGAUAAUCACAACAGUCCGACUCAGACUGUGGUUGAAUUAAAGCAGGAGAUCAAGGACCUGAAAGAAGAGAACGCAAAGUUGAAGGAGAUUGUUCUUCAAGAUGUGCCAGGACUCCUACUGAGCUUGAGGAAUAUAAUAGAUUCGGCUGCACCUCCUAAGAGAUCCAGGGUGGAGCCUACCAAAGCAUUACCGGCCCUUCCAGGGUCCAGGACCAGUUCUCCAUGUGCCACUUCGCUGUCCCUCCCCAGAUCUACUCUGUCCAGUUCCACAUCUGUGUCUCCAUCCCUGACUGCCUCCCAGUCUUCUUAGGUUGAGAUCCAUCCUGGGACCGGAGUCAUGGUUGAGAAACUGGCGUGGGCCUAUUCCAUCAAUGCCAAUUCGGUAACAGUCUUUGUGAGGCAUCUGCUCACCGCAGUCUUUCCAGUGGAAAUACUGCUGGUGAGCAAUCUUCGGAGGAACAAACGAGGCGGAGGAGAGGCUCGUCAACCAUUAGACAAAAAUAAAUUGGAUGCCAUUUACAGUGCAACUCUUGAGAAGUGGCCAGGGACCCAGCUUUCCAGCAUUGGAAGUACGAUCAAUGCCAAGAUUACAGAACUCCGGUCAAAAAGUAAAAAUGUUGGUGUGUACACAGCUCCACAUUAAACUGUUUUGUUUGCUCUGAGUUUCACACAGGUGUGUCACAUAGUCCUUGGCCCUGGGGCAAAACAGGUUCUGACUACUGUCUACUGAAAAAAACCCUAAAAUCAGUUGAGGCUGCGAAAAAAAAAAAAGCCUUUUGAAAAUUCUUGAAGAAAGUAAGAUGAGAAGGAAGGAGAACCCACUGUUUGAAAACAAUUCAAAUAAAAGGAAAGAGGAUUUUUCUGACAGUGAAGACAGUGAUGAUGGAGCAGUGGUACCUAAAAAAAUACACGAGGACUUAGACAAAAAAUACCGCUUCCAAAAGAAACAAAAACAUCAGCUACAAGGAGAGCUGAUGGAGUGUAAAAAAAGACAUGCAGAAUUAGAAAAGAUCAACAAGGACCUUGUCGCAGAGCUGACUACAUACAGACAACUUAAUGUUACACUGCAGCAGAACAUCAAUGAAGUUCUUCAAAGGGCCUUCUCAAAAACACAUGAUUCCUCAUUUUUUGAAGUCAGCGAAACCUCCUCAUCCCUACCCGAAAAGGGUACUCCUGAACGGCAAACAUCUGAUAAGCUGCCAAAUACUAGCGGGGAAAUUUAUGAAAGAAAAAAUGGCAAGAUCCACGUAGGAGAAAAUGUUUGGCUUAGAGAGGAGGUGUGGAAGAAAAUUCGUUCCUCUGCCAAAGAUUCUCUCUUCGUCAAAGAGAUGGCUGUGGCACUAUGGGGGACAGCAACUUUAAAAAACAAAAGUGUGUCUGGAAACGAGUGUCCCACGAAUAAAAAUCCUGUGAAGCCUCCCCUGACCCCAUCCAAGCUGCAAGUUUUGAGAGUCUGUUUCAGUGACUGCCUCAGAACAAAGGAGCCCGAAAAAAAUGAGAGAGAGAAGAGGGAGAAUCGAGUUGGUUAUUACAUAUCCCAGAAAAUUCAAGACAUUAUAAAAAAAGAACAAAGAAAUGAAAAAGUGUGAAAGCUGUUGAAGCACAAAUAAAAUAGGAAUUAAUGACUUGACAAUAAUUUUCCAGGUAUGAUUCUAGUUGGAAUGGUUUUCUAAGUCUUUAGUUUUAAGUCUUCAGUUUUUGUAAUACAUUUAAAUACCAUUUGUCCUCUGUGAAAAAAAUAAACAUAUCAGACUGUCAAUCAGAUCAGUGUGUAGUUAUUUUUAUUGAAUUAGACCCACUUGUACGGAUUUUGCCCAACCAAUAACAGCAAAUAAGUGUGGUUAGCUGUGGCCAGUCUGUCCAACAGUCACCAGACCAGCCUGACCUGCUAUGACCAGCUAAGACCAGCCUGACCUGCUAUGACCAGCUAAGACCAGCCUGACCAGCUAAGACCAGCCUGCCCAGCUAAAAAAAUGUGUCCAAAACCCCUCUAAAACCAGCUUGCUUAACCAGCUAUGACCAGGCUGGGAGAUCAGCUAAAACCAGCCAACCAGCUUAAGGCUGGUUUUAGCUGUUUUUUUCAGCAGGGUAACUAUUUU